rnacentral:misc_RNA from 1 species
GAUGAAGGACGCAGCGAAAUGCGAUACUUGGUGUGAAUUGCAGAAUCCAGUGAACCAUCGAGUCUUUGAACGCAAGUUGCGCCUCAAGCCAUUAGGUUGAGGGCACGUCUGCCUGGGCGUCACAUAUCGUUGCCUGAUGCCAGUUUCCUCGUGAUGGGUGACUGUGCAGGGCGAAUGAUGGCUUCCCGUGAGCAUUGUUGCCUCAUGGUUGGUUGAAAAUUGAGUCCUUGGUAGGGAGCGCCGUGAUAAAUGGUGGUUGAGUGACGAACGAGACCCAAUCAUGUGAGACCCCUACCGAAUUUGGCCUUCAUGACCCACAUGCGUCUUUGGAACGCUCAUGACGAGACCUCAGGUCAGGCGGGGCUACCCGCUGAGUUUAAGCAUAUCAAUAAGCGGAGGA